AUUGAACGCUGGCGGCAGGCCUAACACAUGCAAGUCGAGCGGAGCGGCGGACGGGCGAGUAAUUCCUAGGAAUCUGCCUGGUUGUGGGGGAUAACGUUCGGCAACGGACGCUAAUACCGCAUACUAUCAGAUGAGCCUAGGCGGGAUUAGCUAGUUGGUGAGGUAAUGGCUCACCAAGCCUACGAUCCGUCGCUGGUCUGAGUGGAUGAUCAGUCACACAGGAACUGAGACACGGUCAAGACUCCUACGGGAGGCAGCAGUGGGGAAUAUUGGACAAUGGGCGAAAGCCUGAUGCAGCCAUGCCGCGUGUGUGAAGAAGGUCUUCGGAUUGUAAAGCACUUUAAGUGGGGAGGCGUUACCGACAGAAGAAGCACCGGCUAACUCUGUGCCAGCAGCCGCGGUAAUUC
rnacentral:rRNA from 1 species